rnacentral:lncRNA from 1 species
AACUCACAAAGUAUUACAAAUGAAGAGAAAACAUGGAUGAAAUUAACUUAAAGAAAAUGGCUUCCCCAACUUACUGGAAUGAAAUCUGAAUUGAUGGGUUUCAUCUAACUUAUCUGUUAAUGGGCUCUCUUGAUGCCCUUGUGUUACCCUAAUCUCCCAAGUACUGGACAAACAGAUAUACGAGAUGUCAGCAGCUCUGGUUCUGGAAAUCGCGCUCCUAUCUGAGUUAAAAAGCUAGUUCAGCCUGGAUACACCUGAGAGUUUUGUGGGCUAACAGAGGAGGCAUUGAAUAUUAGUCACAGCUACCAUUUCAACUCAAAUAUCGAACAUCCGAACAAACGAUGGCUAAAAUGCAAAACU